UUUUGUUAAAUAAAAAAAAGGACUGUGGUUCUCUCCUAAGUCAGAGUUUAUUAUUCCAAUAAACAAGUAGACGUCUAAAAAUAACCCAUGGAAAGUACAACUACUCCCUUUCAUGACAUGAACAGUUCGUUUCGAAGAACCAGUUAAAAAAGAUUCAGCUUUUCAUUACAUAAUUAAUGUGCAAGGCUUCCGGUGUCAUCGGCUACAGCCCAUGAAGCUGUUUGAUAUUGCCAACUGGUAUUUUUUCCUCAUAUUAUUUUAAUGUAUUGUCACAAACACAUUGGAUUGUAUUGCAAAAUGUUAACAGUUUACAACACUUGAGCCGGAAGUCUUGCACAUUCAAAGAAAGUUCACUUGCAAAAUAAGGUGGAUUACAUAGGUUACUGCAAAGCACUAACAAAAGCCAUAUUUAAGUAAAUACGUUGUAAACUAAAAACUGUGUGAAUAACUUAAAUAUGAAUAUACUAAAAUAUUAACAUUUCACAAUAAAAUUAUAUUAGAAAAUCAACAAUAUUUAGUUUAUGUUGAUAACUGUCAAAGAAUCAAGUUCCAGUGCAUUUUAUUUGUAAUAUUUCUGCUAUUCGGCUAUUAAAGUGACUUAUCAAACAAACUCUCGCUUCACUAUCAUUUCGUCAGCUAUAAAACGGAAAUGUUUCAAAGAGUCCAUGUGCUGUUGGCUCGAUAAUGGCUCUACCCUGUUGAAAAAAACCCAGCAUAUGCUGGUUAGGUAUGUUUUGAAGCAUGGCUGCUGGUUUG